rnacentral:rRNA from 1 species
UACACUCCUACGGGAGGCAGCAGUGGGGAAUAUUGCACAAUGGGCGCAAGCCUGAUGCAGCCAUGCCGCGUGUAUGAAGAAGGCCUUCGGGUUGUAAAGUACUUUCAGCGGGGAGGAAGGCGAUAAGGUUAAUAACCUUGUCGAUUGACGUUACCCGCAGAAGAAGCACCGGCUAACUCCGUGCCAGCAGCCGCGGUAAUACGGAGGGUGCAAGCGUUAAUCGGAAUUACUGGGCGUAAAGCGCACGCAGGCGGUCUGUCAAGUCGGAUGUGAAAUCCCCAGGCUCAACCUGGGAACUGCAUUCGAAACUGGCAGGCUAGAGUCUUGUAGAGGGGGGUAGAAUUCCAGGUGUAGCGGUGAAAUGCGUAGAGAUCUGGAGGAAUACCGGUGGCGAAGGCGGCCCCCUGGACAAAGACUGACGCUCAGGUGCGAAAGCGUGGGGAGCAAACAGGAUUAGAAACCCGGGUAGUCC